rnacentral:tRNA from 1 species
GGAGAUAGCUCAGUGGUAGAGCGCAUGCUGAGCAUGCACAAGUAGAGCUUAGCGUGCACAAGGUCCUGGGUUCAAUCCCCAGUACCUCCA